rnacentral:lncRNA from 1 species
AUUUGAACCAUACCAUUUACUUUACAAGAAUGAAGACUAUAUAUUUUCAGUGUAAUGAGUUUUAGUUAAUUGUACUUUGUUGUUUAAAAAGUUUCUUUGUGGUAAUAAGAUAUAUAGCAAAAAGAAACUCUUCAAUGAAAAGUUAGAAUAUUCCUUCUUUUUGCAGUCUUAAGGUAAAUAUAAUGGGGACUCACAAACUGUUUAGUAUUUUAGAUAUAAUAUCAUAUAUAGAUAAAUAGGAUUAAUAUAAUUAAAUGAAGAAUCUGAUUAGCUAGCAUUCUAAAUUUAGAAUGUAAAAUUAAAGUAUAAAAUAAAAAUGACAUCAUGAAAGUCAUGAAAGGGAAGAAUACAUUACAGAUAAAGGACAGCAAAUAAUAUUAACCUGAUUGAAAUAGCUUAGUUAUUAUUUUGCUGUUUAAUAUUUAUUUGUGCAGUUGAAAAUAAGGUAGCAUACAAUUAAAUGUAUCUAAUUUGCA